rnacentral:tRNA from 1 species
UCCCUGGUGGCUCAGACGGUAAAGAAUCUGCCUGCAAUGCAGGAGACCCAGGUUUGAUUCCUGGGUUGGAAA